UACGUAGGGGGGCAAGCGUUGUCCGGAUUUAUUGGGCGUAAAGAGCGUGUAGGCGGCCAGGUAGGUCCGUUGUGAAAACUCGAGGCUCAACCUCGAGACGCCGAUGGAAACCAUCUGGCUAGAGUCCGGAAGAGGAGAGUGGAAUUCCCGGUGUAGCGGUGAAAUGCGCAGAUAUCGGGAAGAACACCCGUGGCUAAGGCGGCUCUCUAGUACGGUACUGACGCUGAGACGCGAAAGCGUGGGAGCGAACGAGG
rnacentral:rRNA from 1 species